GGAGAGAUGGCAGAGUGGUCGAUUGCGGCGGUCUUGAAAACCGUUGGGGUGCGAGCCCCCGGGGGUUCGAAUCCCUCUCUCUCCGCCA
rnacentral:tRNA from 1 species